UACGUAGGAGGCAAGCGUUGUCCGGAAUUACUGGGCGUAAAGCGCGUGUAGGUGGUGGGACAAGUCUGCUGUGAAAGCGCCUGGCUUAACCGGGCGAGGUCGGCGGAAACUGUCCGACUCGAGGACGGUAGAGGGGGGUGGAAUUCCCGGUGUAGCGGUGAAAUGCGUAGAGAUCGGGAGGAACACCAGAGGCGAAGGCGGCGACCUGGACAGUAACUGACACUCAACUACGAAAGCGUGGGUAGCAAACAGG
rnacentral:rRNA from 1 species